rnacentral:rRNA from 1 species
UACGUAGGGACCGAGCGUUGUCCGGAAUCAUUGGACGUAAAGAGCGUGUAGGCGGCCACUUAAGUCCUGCGUGAAAUCUUGCGGCUCAACCGCAAGCGGUCGUGGGAAACUGGGUGGCUAGAGUGCGGGAGAGGAGAGUGGAAUUCCUGGUGUAGCGGUGGAAUGCGCAGAUAUCAGGAAGAACACCCGUGGCGAAGGCGGCUCUCUGGAACGCAACUGACGCUGAGACGCGAAAGCGUGGGGAGCAAACAGG